GCUGGGCACAGUGGCUUGUGCCUGUAAUUCCAGCUAUUCAGGAGGCUGAGGCAGGAGGAUUGCUUGAGCCAGGAGGUCAAGGCUUCAGUGAGCUGUGAUCACUGACACUGCACUUUAGCCUGGGCAACAGAGCAAGACCCUGUCUCAA
rnacentral:SRP_RNA from 1 species